UAGCAUAAUCAUUAGUUUCCUAAUUAGAGGCUUGUAUGAAUGGUCGGACAAGAUGGAAACUGUUUCAGUAUAAAUAAUAAAAAUUAAUAUUUAAGUAAAAAAGCUUAAAUAAAAUGGAGGGACGAUAAGACCCUAUAAAGCUUUAUAGUGUUUUUUUUUUAUAUAAAUUGUGCUAAUUUAGUUUAUAAAAAAAAAACAUACUAUUUUACUGGGGCGGUAAAAGUAUUUAUUAUUGAAAAACUGCUUUUGUUUUUAAAAACAAAUAUGAUUGGAAAUAAAUUGAUCCAUUAUUAAUGAUUAUAAAAACAAGUUACUUUAGGGAUAACAGCGUAAUUUUUUUUGAGAGUCCUCAUCGAAAAAAAAGUUUGCGACCUCGAUGUUGAAUUAAGGGUUGCCUUAAGGUGCAGCAGUUUUAAAGGCAAAUCUGUUCAAUCUUUAAAUCUUUACAUGAUUUG
rnacentral:rRNA from 1 species